AUUGAACGCUGGCGGCAUGCUUUACACAUGCAAGUCGAACGGCAGCACGGGGCAACCUGGUGGCGAGUGGCGAACGGGUGAGUAAUAUAUCGGAACGUACCCAAGAGUGGGGGAUAACGUAGCGAAAGUUACGCUAAUACCGCAUACGAUCUAAGGAUGAAAGCAGGGGAUCUUCGGACCUUGUGCUCCUGGAGCGGCCGAUAUCUGAUUAGCUAGUUGGUGAGGUAAAGGCUCACCAAGGCGACGAUCAGUAGCUGGUCUGAGAGGACGACCAGCCACACUGGAACUGAGACACGGUCCAGACUCCUACGGGAGGCAGCAGUGGGGAAUUUUGGACAAUGGGCGAAAGCCUGAUCCAGCAAUGCCGCGUGAGUGAAGAAGGCCUUCGGGUUGUAAAGCUCUUUUGUCAGGGAAGAAACGGUCGUGGCUAAUAUCCAUGGCUAAUGACGGUACCAGAAGAAUAAGCACCGGCUAACUACGUGCCAGCCGCCGCGUAA
rnacentral:rRNA from 1 species